CGGCGGUGCGCUCAACGCAUCCAAAAACGACAAGCCUUUAUGGGCGCUCGAGUCCCGCGCCAGAGAGAGAGCGCACAACCUACCUUCAUCUCUGCGUUAAUUUCCCUCUUCACGGGGAACAUUUGGGUCACGCGAGGGGUCAAACCCAAGAUUAAUGCAGCUGGAGCUUACAACAUGAAGAAUUAAGAGACUGCAAUGAUAUAGAUCAUGUAUGGCUUUGGGUCGGCUGGUGUAAAUCUUUUCAUCAUGUAUAUAAUAUGAGCAAGCAUUUCUCGGAAUACGGUCGUCUCUGUAUUCAUUCUCAGGAUGGGCACGGUGGCACGAGACCUUCCCUCUCCUCUGGCUUGGACCAUAGGCCGUCGUCCUUGAGAGCAUAUCGACAUCCCUGCCCAGAUCACUAGCAGAUGCGCGGCUGCCUGAAUGAGUGCAUUGUUUAGCACACACUACUCUGGCAGCCCUUGCCGAACAUUAGCCCACGAUAAACAGUUACAUUCUAGCUGGGAUACAGUUACUCCUCUUGAUACCAGAGGAGGUGCUUCAGCCUGUUUCUAACAGGCCAAACUGUGUUUUCUCCAGCGUGGAUUGGCUUUCACUCCGAUUCGAUUCCAUAGCUCUUAGCAUUGUGUAUCAAGUGCAAAGGAAUAUGGUUUGUAAACACAAGAAAGGCCCUAAUAUGUAAUGACAAAUAAGAUUAGAGGAUGGAAUUUACGUCUCUUGGGAAACGCCUGGUGGAAAAAGUGUGGUCAUGAGACAACAUCAGCUUUUUCAGUUCUCAUUGUAAUCCCUGCUUGUUUAUAUUGUGUGUGUAUUGUGUCUGUGCACGUCCGCUUACGAGCGUACGUUGUGUGUGUGCAUGAGUGUGCGUGUGCUUGUGUGUCUCCAUUUCAAAAAGAUACUUAUGGGAUUUCUAUGAGAGGGAAGUAUUACAAAAGGAAUUAAAAGUAGAUGUAAAACAGCUGUAUGCAGGAUCCGUCACUGGUUUGUGAAAAAUAAACAUUCAUUUUAUAAUCA